rnacentral:rRNA from 1 species
UGGGGAAUUUUGGACAAUGGGCGAAAGCCUGAUCCAGCCAUGCCGCGUGAGUGAAGAAGGCCUUCGGGUUGUAAAGCUCUUUUAGUCGGAAAGAAAGAGUUGCAAUGAAUAAUUGUGAUUUAUGACGGUACCGACAGAAAAAGCACCGGCUAACUACGUGCCAGCAGCCGCGGUAAUACGUAGGGUGCGAGCGUUAAUCGGAAUUACUGGGCGUAAAGCGUGCGCAGGCGGUUUUGUAAGACAGAUGUGAAAUCCCCGGGCUUAACCUGGGAACUGCGUUUGUGACUGCAAGGCUGGAGUACGGCAGAGGGGGGUGGAAUUCCACGUGUAGCAGUGAAAUGCGUAGAGAUGUGGAGGAACACCGAUGGCGAAGGCAGCCCCCUGGGCCUGUACUGACGCUCAUGCACGAAAGCGUGGGGAGCAAACA